rnacentral:tRNA from 1 species
GAGGGUAUAGCUCAGUGGUAGAGCGUGUGUUUAGCAUGCACAAGGUCCUGGGUUCAAUUCCCAGUAAAAUCA